rnacentral:rRNA from 1 species
UACGGAGGGGACUAGCGUUGUUCGGAAUUACUGGGCGUAAAGCGCACGUAGGCGGAUUGUUAAGUCGGGGGUGAAAUCCUGGAGCUCAACUCCAGAAUUGCCUUCGAUACUGGCUUUCUAGAGGCUGGAAGAGGUUAGUGGAAUUCCCAGUGUAGAGGUGAAAUUCGUAGAUAUUGGGAAGAACACCAGUGGCGAAGGCGGCUAACUGGUCCAGAUCUGACGCUGAGGUGCGAAAGCGUGGGGAGCAAACAGG